rnacentral:rRNA from 1 species
GAUGAACGCUGGCGGCGUGCCUAAUGCAUGCAAGUCGAGCGAACGGACGAGAAGCUUGCUUCUCUGAUGUUAGCGGCGGACGGGUGAGUAACACGUGGAUAACCUACCUAUAAGACUGGGAUAACUUCGGGAAACCGGAGCUAAUACCGGAUAAUAUUUUGAACCGCAUGGUUCAAAAGUGAAAGACGGUCUUGCUGUCACUUAUAGAUGGAUCCGCGCUGCAUUAGCUAGUUGGUAAGGUAACGGCUUACCAAGGCAACGAUGCAUAGCCGACCUGAGAGGGUGAUCGGCCACACUGGAACUGAGACACGGUCCAGACUCCUACGGGAGGCAGCAGUAGGGAAUCUUCCGCAAUGGGCGAAAGCCUGACGGAGCAACGCCGCGCGAGUGAUGAAGGUCUUCGGAUCGUAAAACUCUGUUAUUAGGGAAGAACAUAUGUGUAAGUAACUGUGCACAUCUUGACGGUACCUAAUCAGAAAGCCACGGCUAACUACGUG